rnacentral:rRNA from 1 species
CCUACGGGAGGCUGCAGUGAGGCAUAUUGGUCAAUGGGCGCGAGCCUGAACCAGCCAAGUCGCGUGAGGGAGGACGGCCCUACGGGUUGUAAACCUCUUUUGCCGGGGAGCAACGGGCGUCACGUGUGGCGCCACUGAGAGUACCCGGAGAAAAAGCAUCGGCUAACUCCGUGCCAGCAGCCGCGGUAAUACGGAGGAUGCGAUCGUUAUACGGAUUGAUUGGGUUUAAGGGGUGCGUAGGCGGAUCGUUAAGUCAGUGGUCAAAUUGAGGGGCUCAACCCCUUCCCGCCAUUGAAACUGGCGCUCUUGAGUGGAAGAGAAGUAUGCGGAAUGCGUGGUGUAGCGGUGAAAUGCAUAGAUAUCACGCAGAACACCGAUUGCGAAGGCAGCAUGCCGGCUUCCGACUGACGCUGAAGCACGAAAGCGUGGGGAUCGAACAGGAUUAGAUACCCGGGUAGUC